rnacentral:lncRNA from 1 species
CCAACAGUUUUCAAGCAGCGGGAAUCACCAAGGAAGACAAGCAGUCCAAGGCUUCACCACAAGCUCCCACACUGCCUUAUCUUCAUCAAUUAAAGGCUCAGACGUGUAGAUGGAAGCAAUUGAAGGAAGAAGAAAGAGAAAUAAAGGAGGAAGACCAAGAAGAAACGAGAAAUAGAGGCGGAAUAGAAGAAGGUGCCAAGGUGUAAUAUUUAGACCUACAGACGACCACCGCACGGAAGAGCAACGACUUACGUGCCUCAGACAGUCAGUUCUCCUAGGGCGGUGUCAGUGGCAUCCCGAAGCAGCGCAUGUGUGACGGCUUCAGUGACUGCAGUAACGGAGAGGAUGAGUUUGUGCAGCUGUGUGGCAUUGACGAGUGCCAGGAGAAGAAUGUCGGGUGUGUGUGAGCACCUGUGCAUCAACACUCGAGAGUCAUACUGCUACUACUGCCAGUGCCGGACAUGCAGAAUACAGACUCGUCAGGAAGUUCAACUGUGAAGGUGAGUCCUGCCUAUACUGACACUGUCACCCU